rnacentral:rRNA from 1 species
CCUGGAAACAGAUGCUAAUACCGGAUAACAACACUAGACGCAUGUCUAGAGUUUAAAAGAUGGUUCUGCUAUCACUCUUGGAUGGACCUGCGGUGCAUUAGCUAGUUGGUAAGGUAACGGCUUACCAAGGCAAUGAUGCAUAGCCGAGUUGAGAGACUGAUCGGCCACAUUGGGACUGAGACACGGUCCAAACUCCUACGGGAGGCAGCAGUU